rnacentral:rRNA from 1 species
GAAGCCUGUAAAAGCAGAACGACCCGCGAACUUGUUUGUAAAACUUUGGGGAGAGAAAUCGGUUGAUGCCUAGUUCUGUCCCAUCAAGUCGAGAUGAGUGCCACCCAUCACGGUGGGGUUCGUCUUGGCAUUACCCACAACAUCGGCACGGAUUGUGCCAAGGAUGAAAUAACGUAAGCGUGUCUUCAAUGGCUCUGUGGUCAAUCUAUGGGGUCGUGGAGAUUAUGUGUCGGAUGUAACACAAUGACUCUCGGCAACGGAUAUCUCGGCUCUCGCAUCGAUGAAGAACGUAGCGAAAUGCGAUACUUGGUGUGAAUUGCAGAAUCCCGUGAACCAUCGAGUCUUUGAACGCAAGUUGCGCCCAAAGCCUUCGGGUUGAGGGCACGUCUGCCUGGGCGUCACGCAUCGCAUCGUUCCCUUCCACUUCUGUGAGGGGCAAGGGACGGAUGAUGGCCUCCCGUGCAUAUGCCCAUGUGCGGUUGGUUUAAAUCAGGAUCCUGUGGCUUGGAAAGCUACGACAAGUGGUGGUUGGUUGGCCUCUUGGCCUGAGUUGCACGUGUCGUGUGCUGGCAUGCCAUUUUUUUGGUCUCAAAGGACCC